GCCAGUGUGGCUCAGUGGAUAGAGCGCCGGCCUUUGGUCUGAAGGGUCCCGGGUUCGAUUCCCGGUCAGGGCA
rfam:Myotis lucifugus cont2.52757, whole genome shotgun sequence.